rnacentral:rRNA from 2 species
GCGCCUAACACAUGCAAGUCGAACGAGAAAGGGGAGCAAUCCCUGAGUAAAGUGGCGUACGGGUGAGUAACACGUGGGUAAUCUGCCCUUUGGUGGGGAAUAACCCUGGGAAACCGGGGCUAAUACCGCAUAAGUCCGAGAGGAGAAAGCAGCAAUGCGCCGAAGGAGGAGCCCGCGGCCGAUUAGCUAGUUGGUAGGGUAAAAGCCUACCAAGGCAAAGAUCGGUAGCCGGCCUGAGAGGGCACACGGCCACACUGGCACUGAAACACGGGCCAG